GAUGAACGCUGGCGGCGUGCCUAAUACAUGCAAGUCGAGCGAACAGACGAGGAGCUUGCUCCUCUGACGUUAGCGGCGGACGGGUGAGUAACACGUGGAUAACCUACCUAUAAGACUGGGAUAACUUCGGGAAACCGGAGCUAAUACCGGAUAAUAUAUUGAACCGCAUGGUUCAAUAGUGAAAGACGGUUUUGCUGUCACUUAUAGAUGGAUCCGCGCCGCAUUAGCUAGUUGGUAAGGUAACGGCUUACCAAGGCAACGAUGCGUAGCCGACCUGAGAGGGUGAUCGGCCACACUGGAACUGAGACACGGUCCAGACUCCUACAGGAGGCAGCAGUAGGGAAUCUUCCGCAAUGGGCAAAAGCCUGACGGAGCAACGCCGCGUGAGUGAUGAAGGUCUUCGGAUCGUAAAACUCUGUUAUUAGGGCAGAACAAAUGUGUAAGUAACUAUGCACGUCUUGACGGUACCUAAUCAGAAAGCCACGGCUAACUACGUG
rnacentral:rRNA from 1 species